GUUUGAUCAUGGCUCAGGAUGAACGCUGGCUGUGUGCCUAAUACAUGCAUGUCGAGCGGAGUUCUUCGGAACUUAGCGGCGAAUGGGUGAGUAACACGUACUUAACAUGCCUUUUAGAUUGGGACAACGAUGAGAAAUUAUCGCUAAUACCGGAUACUUAUAUGGUUCGCAUGAACUAUAUAUAAAAGAAGCCUUUAAAGCUUCACUAAAAGAUUGGGGUGCGGAACAUUAGCUAGUUGGUAAGGUAAUGGCUUACCAAGGCGAUGAUGUUUAGCGGGGUUGAGAGACUGAUCCGCCACACUGGGACUGAGAUACGGCCCAGACUCCUACGGGAGGCAGCAGUAGGGAAUUUUCCACAAUGGACGAAAGUCUGAUGGAGCGACACAGCGUGCAGGAUGAAGGCCUUCGGGUUGUAAACUGCUGUUAUAAGGGAAGAAAAAGCAGUAGAGGAAAUGCUAUUGCCUUGACGGUACCUUGUCAGAAAGCAACGGCUAACUAUGUGCCAGCAGCCGCGGUAAUACAUAGGUUGCAAGCGUUAUCCGGAAUUAUUGGGCGUAAAGCGUCUGUAGGUUGUAUGUUAAGUCUGGCGUGAAAACUUGGGGCUCAACCCCAAAUUGCGUUGGAUACUGGCAUGCUAGAAUUGUGUAGAGGUUAGCGGAAUUCCUAGUGAAGCGGUGAAAUGCGUAGAUAUUAGGAAGAACAUCAACAUGGCGAAGGCAGCUAACUGGGCACAUAUUGACACUGAGAGACGAAAGCGUGGGGAGCAAACAGGAUUAGAUACCCUGGUAGUCCACGCUGUAAACGAUGAUGAUUAGCUGAUAGUAGAACUAUCGGCACAGCUAACGCAUUAAAUCAUCCGCCUGAGUAGUAUGCUCGCAAGAGUGAAACUUAAAGGAAAUUGACGG
rnacentral:rRNA from 2 species